CAAACUUCAACUUGGUCAACUUUGAAGACUUCUGGCAAAGCUCCAGUGUCACGUGGAGGCCAAUCAGCUAACCCUGUUGGAACAAGCUUAGUAAUUUUUGGUGGACAACAUGCAAAGGGGACUCUUUUGAAUGAUCUGCAUAUUCUUGACCCUGGAGACCAUGACAUGGGAUGAAAUUGAUGCCAUAUUUGGAAUCUUGGCUCUCUAGACCCUAAUUUUACAUUGGAUGCUCAUCAGAAAGGAGUGAAUUGUGUUGAUUACUUUACAGGUGGUGACAAACCUUACCUAAUAACUAGAUCUGAUGAUCACACU